AGAGUUUGAUCAUGGCUCAGAUUGAACGCUGGCGGCAGGCCUAACACAUGCAAGUCGAACGGUAACAGGAAGCAGCUUGCUGCUUCGCUGACGAGUGGCGGACGGGUGAGUAAUGUCUGGGAAACUGCCUGAUGGAGGGGGAUAACUACUGGAAACGGUGGCUAAUACCGCAUAAUGUCGCAAGACCAAAGAGGGGGACCUUCGGGCCUCUUGCCAUCAGAUGUGCCCAGAUGGGAUUAGCUUGUUGGUGAGGUAACGGCUCACCAAGGCGACGAUCCCUAGCUGGUCUGAGAGGAUGACCAGCCACACUGGAACUGAGACACGGUCCAGACUCCUACGGGAGGCAGCAGUGGGGAAUAUUGCACAAUGGGCGCAAGCCUGAUGCAGCCAUGCCGCGUGUAUGAAGAAGGCCUUCGGGUUGUAAAGUACUUUCAGCGGGGAGGAAGGUGUUGUGGUUAAUAACCGCAGCAAUUGACGUUACCCGCAGAAGAAGCACCGGCUAACUCCGUGCCAGCAGCCGCGGUAAUACGGAGGGUGCAAGCGUUAAUCGGAAUUACUGGGCGUAAAGCGCACGCAGGCGGUCUGUCAAGUCGGAUGUGAAAUCCCCGGGCUCAACCUGGGAACUGCAUUCGAAACUGGCAGGCUUGAGUCUUGUAGAGGGGGGUAGAAUUCCAGGUGUAGCGGUGAAAUGCGUAGAGAUCUGGAGGAAUACCGGUGGCGAAGGCGGCCCCCUGGACAAAGACUGACGCUCAGGUGCGAAAGCGUGGGGAGCAAACAGGAUUAGAUACCCUGGUAGUCCACGCCGUAAACGAUGUCUACUUGGAGGUUGUGCCCUUGAGGCGUGGCUUCCGGAGCUAACGCGUUAAGUAGACCGCCUGGGGAGUACGGCCGCAAGGUUAAAACUCAAAUGAAUUGACGGGGGCCCGCACAAGCGGUGGAGCAUGUGGUUUAAUUCGAUGCAACGCGAAGAACCUUACCUGGUCUUGACAUCCACGGAAGUUUUCAGAGAUGAGAAUGUGCCUUCGGGAACCGUGAGACAGGUGCUGCAUGGCUGUCGUCAGCUCGUGUUGUGAAAUGUUGGGUUAAGUCCCGCAACGAGCGCAACCCUUAUCCUUUGUUGCCAGCGGUCCGGCCGGGAACUCAAAGGAGACUGCCAGUGAUAAACUGGAGGAAGGUGGGGAUGACGUCAAGUCAUCAUGGCCCUUACGACCAGGGCUACACACGUGCUACAAUGGCGCAUACAAAGAGAAGCGACCUCGCGAGAGCAAGCGGACCUCAUAAAGUGCGUCGUAGUCCGGAUUGGAGUCUGCAACUCGACUCCAUGAAGUCGGAAUCGCUAGUAAUCGUGGAUCAGAAUGCCACGGUGAAUACGUUCCCGGGCCUUGUACACACCGCCCGUCACACCAUGGGAGUGGGUUGCAAAAGAAGUAGGUAGCUUAACCUUCGGGAGGGCGCUUACCACUUUGUGAUUCAUGACUGGGGUGAAGUCGUAACAAGGUAACCGUAGGGGAACCUGCGGUUG
rnacentral:rRNA from 1 species